AGGAGAGGUUGGACACGAGAACGAAGCAGGGUCAAUAGCUCAGAAUGACAGCUAUACCAGUUUAACUCCAGACAUCACGCCCGCUACAUCUCACCUCUCCAGUCACCACGCCACUACGCCACCACCGAUCGAGUCUACGCAGCCCGGUGUCCGUCUGUGUCUUGUCGUCGGGCGUGACGUGCAGCAAAGGCGGUAACAGCAACGGGAAGUUUUAUCUACGUGAUGGAGGUUUUUCGUGCGGCGAGGUGACGUGCCGCUGCUGUGAGAUUAGCGGACCACCCCACCCCACUCUACAGCCACAGCACAGCAUAGCCACAGCACAGCGGAGAGUCACCACGCCACUACGCCACCACCGACCCCUCGAGUCUACGCAGCCCGGUGUCCGUCUGUGUCUUGUCGUCGGGCGUGACGUGCAGCAAAGGCGGUAACAGCAACGGGAAGUUUUAUCUACGUGAUGGAGGUUUUUCGUGCGGCGAGGUGACGUGCCGCUGCUGUGAGAUUAGCGGACCACCCCACCCCACUCUACAGCCACAGCACAGCAUAGCCACAGCACAG